UUUUUUUUUUUUUUUUUUGAGCUGAGCUCUCUGUCCGGCUCCCUGCCACCCCAUCCAUCUAUAACUUUUCAUCACUUUUUCCUAAAGUAAGGAAUACGUCCCAGAAAAUGCACUUCUGUGACUUAGCAACUUGCCAGAAGUGAUCUGAUCCUUCCCAGUGUUCCAAAGGAAGCAAUGAUUUGAAUUCAGCUGCUCGAACAAUUAGUCUCCAGGCAGGCAGCUUGAAAAUUCUUUAAAGUAAUGCUAUGGGUGUCUGGUUGCAUGUAGUCUUUUGAGCCUGACACUCUGCUAAAUUAAUCUUAAUGUUAAAGUAAAAUGGGAACAAGACCAAUUUCUGUUCAGCGAAACUCUGUACUUUCUGACAUUGAAUUGUACUGCAGAUUCAUAGUAAAAAAAAUUUAUGAAUAACUCACACUUCCACUCCAUCAGUGUGUAUGUCAUACAUACACAUAUGUAUAUGACUUAUAUACACACAUAACAUAUACAUAUAUAACUUACAUAUGUAACAUAUAUAGCAUGUACAUAUAUACAUAUAUAUAUAUACACACACAAAAAAUACAUUAUUCACAACAGCACUCUUUGUAAUAGUCAAAAAUUGGAAACAACUCAAAUGUCCACUGACUGUAGAAUGGAUAAAUAAAUCGUGACACACAAUGGAACAAUACAUAGCAAUGAGAAUGCAUGAACUUCUGCUACAAAAACAGAGGAAUUUCAUAAUCAAAACACAGAGCAAAAGAAGUCAGACACAAUAUAAACAUACUAUAAAUCCAUUUAUAUGAAGUUUAUAAGCAGUCAAAAUUAAGCUAUGGAGAUGUCUUCUGACAGAAAUCUGAAAGGUGAGUGUCUUUGGAGAGGGAUACGAAGUGACUAAAGGUGGGACAAGGGAGUUCUUGUGGUUUGGUGAGGGUUACACAAGUUAUCUUUGCUUUGUAAAAGCUCAUUGAGCUGUACAAUAAUGAUUUGUAAACUUUCAUGUAGUAUGCUAUUCCUCAGUCAAAAUUGACUUGAAAACCUGCAUAGUCAUUAUUAUCAGUUUUGGUUUAGUGUUAUUUCACUUUUCAUCAGAACGAAAGAGACCAAAAUUGUGUGAAUGCUUUUAGGCUGCAAAUAUGAGGAGAUAAUUCAAAAUGGUUUCAACAGGGGUUGGCAAACUUUUCCUCUAAAGGGAAAUACAGUAACGAUUGUAGGUUUUGGGGGGCCGUGUGGCUUCUUGUUGAGACUACUCAACUCUGCUGCAGAGCAAAAGUAUCCACAGACAACACGUGAACAAAAGAGCCUGGCUGUGAGCUAAAAACUCAUAUAAAUGUGGGGCUGUCUCAGAAUUCUGCCUACUGCCAGCUCUAACCUAAAAAAAUAAAUCGGAUAAUAUCACAAUAGAAAAAUCAGCCGUUGGGAAGAAAUGAGCACUCUGGCAUUCUCCUUGCUUGGAGGGUUCAUAUUUAAAACCCAACUCCAGGAGUUCCCGACAUGGCUCAGCAGAAAUGAAUCUGUGUGGCAUCCAUGAGGAUGCAGGUUUGAUCCCUGGCCUCGCUCAGUGGGUUAAGGAGCUGGCCUUGCUGUGAUCUGUAGUGCUGUGGCUCUGUCAGAGGCCAGCAAAUACAGCUCCGACUCUGCCCCUAGCCUGGGAACCUCCAUAUGCCGCAGGCGUGGCCCUGAAAAGACAAAAAACAAAAAACAAACAAAUAAAUAAAUAAAUAAAAUAAGACCCAACUCCAUAAAAACAAUGAUAGCAUGAAAGUCCUGAACGAUCUUUAGCUAUUUGCUGUAGCAGGACCGUCAAAAUACCAAAUAAAAUACUGAACUGUUUACAUAAAAACCAUCACAAUGGCAAAAGCUUUUAACUUUUAUUUAUUUAUUUCUGGAUUUAGUAAUAUAUUCACAAGGUUCGCAUUACCAAAGAUAAAGGGAAGUACAGUGAAAAAUCUCUUUCCUACUUGUCUCUUUUCUUGGAAUAACUGAUGAGUGUGAUUCCUCAUUUACUUUUUACUUUGCAGUGGAUUUUGUGCUAAAUUAUGUGUUAAAUAAUUUAAUAUCCAGAUUAUAUAACACAUGCUUGAACACAUACGCAGGAAAAUCCCUGCGAGUGGGGAAAUUGCUGCAUAAAAAUAUAUGUCCAUUUAUAAUUUUGAUAUACAUUGCCACAUUGCCCAUAAUGGUGGUGUACGAAUUUAAAGUUUCAGUACUAAAAUUGGAGUACUUGUUUGACCAUGUUCUUGCCAAGAGUGACUAUUAUUCCAUCUUUCUCAAUUUGAUAGAUAAAAGUGAUAUCUGAUUAUGAGUGACCUGGAACUUUUUUCCAUUUAUUUCUUUUUCUGAAAACUGUGUUUUUUAAUGGAAACAUUGAUCUUUUUCUUAUUAAUUUGUAAGAAUCCUUUACCUGUUGUAAGAAUUGCUCUUGUUGAAGUUUGUGGUUUGUCUUUCAACGUUGCCCGUGUUUGCUGUUGUUUUGCCAUACAGAAAUAUUUGAAUAUAUGUAUAAAUCAGUUUUUUAUGGAUUCUUGCUUUAAUUCUAUAUUUCAAAGAGCCUACCAUACUGCAAGAUUAUGUAAAAAAAAUUUUCAAACAACUUAUUCUGGCAUGUUCAGGAUUUUCAUUUUCUUUCUGUAUUUCUAGAAAUAUUACCCCACCUGGAAUUUAUCAUGGUGAAAGUUGUGAGGUUUGGAUUCAACUUUAAUUCCCCACCCCAGAGGAUUACUCAGUUGUUCAAAUGCCAUUUAUUGGAUAAGCCAUCUCUCUUCACAGAUAAGAGAUGCUAUUUUAUCUCAUACUAAAUGUCUUUUUGUAUCUGGGUCCAUUUCUGUUCUUUUGAGCUGCCUGUCUGUUCAGGUGCCCUGCCUUUUUAAUUAUCAUAGCUUUGUGUUUUACUAUUAACACAGGCAGGCAACCCUUGCUUUCCUUUUUCAGGUUUUCCUGCAUACAUUUGCUUGUUUAUUUUUCCAUAUUAAUACUAUAAUCAACUUGUAUAAUUUUUAAAAAGCCUUUAUUUUAAAAACUGAGGUAAUUUGGGGGAAUGACAUUUUUAUAAAGCCUUUUUAUCUAAAAUUAUGGAUGUCCUUCCAUUUGUUCAAGUCUUCUUUUUGAAUCGCUGUACCUUUAAAAGUCUUCAUAUAAAUAGCUCUUCACUUCUUACAUUUAUCCCUAGGAAUUUAAUCAUUUUGUUGCUAAUACAAGUGAGGUCCUUUCUUCCAUUAUAUUUUCUUUUUUUAUUAUUAAAGUAUAGUUGAUUUAUCAUUAUAUUUUCUAACUGUUGUUUCAAGGACUUUUAAAAGCCAAAGAAAAAAA
ensembl:lncRNA